GAAAAGCUUGUCAUGAACCUAGGCAAUGGGCGAGGACAAAUCAUAUUCUUUUGGCUUAUCGCGUUGCUGAAUAGCGCCGAACAAAAUCAUGUUCUUUGGAUCCAACAGAGCUUCCAGUCUUUGUUCCUCUUUAUCAAGGACCAUACAGCCGAUUUCAGGCUACAAACUUAAAAAGCAAGCAUUCAGUUAGAGCGUUGGGGACUCGAGGGCUUCGGAAAGUGAUGGUAAUACAAACUUGAAAACACUCUAUCUGUGACAUCAUAUAUGUUUUGUUGUAGAUUGAUAAGAACAAAUAAAUAUGGUGAGAUAUAUUCAACAAUAACAUGGAUUGUCACAUCUAAUUUCUUUUAGAGAAAGAUUACAAUAUUGACAUUAAGGCUUUGAGGCAACAUAAUAAACUAAUUUGAAAUGUAGAAGGUAUAUGUAGUUCAGAAUCUUUUUUCAUCCCAAGCUAUCAACUAAAGGAUGAAUAACUUGGUGCUAAUACUAUUUCUGGAACUAUCUGCAUACAA